UACAGAGGGGGCAAGCGUUAUUCGGAAUUAUUGGGCGUAAAGGGCGCGUAGGCGGCUUGGCAAGUGGAUGGUGAAAUCCCUCGGCUUAACCGAGGAACUGCCGUCCAAACUGCUUUGCUUGAGACCGGGAGAGGUGAGUGGAAUUCCCAGUGUAGCGGUGAAAUGCGUAGAUAUUGGGAGGAACACCAGUGGCGAAGGCGGCUCACUGGACCGGAACUGACGCUGAGGCGCGAAAGCGUGGGGAGCAAACAGG
rnacentral:rRNA from 1 species